rnacentral:rRNA from 2 species
AUAUCAAUAAGCGGAGGAAAAGAAACUAACAAGGAUUCCCCUAGUAACGGCGAGUGAAGCGGGAAGAGCUCAAGCUUAAAAUCUCCGUGCAAGUUUUGCACGGCGAAUUGUAGUCUAUAGAGGCGUGGUCAGCGUGGGCGCUUGGGGCAAGUUCCUUGGAAGAGGACAGCAUCGAGGGUGAUACUCCCGUUUAUCCCCGAGUGGCCCGUGCGUACGACCCGUUUUCUUUGAGUCGCGUUGUUUGGGAAUGCAGCGCUAAGUAGGUGGUAAAUUCCAUCUAAAGCUAAAUAUUGGUGCGAGACCGAUAGCGAACAAGUACCGUGAGGGAAAGAUGAAAAGAACUUUGAAAAUAGAGUUAAAGAGUACCUGAAACUGCUGAAAGGGAACCGAAUCGUUUCCAGUGUCUAUAAUCCGUGUCAUAUUUCAUUGGCGAGUGUGUGCGUGCGUGUACUGUGGCAGCGGCUUUUUUGGCUGCGCCCGGUGUGUGUGCUGUGUGUGCUUGCUGGUGCCCUGUGGUGCGGUGGGACGUCAAGGUCAGUUCGUAUGCUGCGGGAAAUGGCUGCCGAGGAGGUAGGGCUUACGCUCUGCGUUUGUCUGUUAUAUCUUGGUGGACGAGUAGUCGCGGUUGGGACUGAGGUGCCUACAACGUGCUUUUGAGUGUGUCUGUGUCUCCGUGUGCGCUGUGUGCGGAUAGCUUGCUAUGCGUGUGUGGCUGUGUAUGGAUUGAUGCGGACUUUAGCUUGUUGCCGUUCGGGACAUUGACGAAAUGGAGCGAUCCGACCCGUCUUGAAACACGGACCAAGGAGUCUAACAUGUGUGCAAGUGUUAGGGUGUGGAAACCCCAGCGCGAAAUGAAAGUAAAGGGCAGCGUAAGUUGUCUGAGGUAGGAAAUGCUGUGGGCUUCGGUCUGCGGUGUGGCACUAUCGACCGAUCAUGAACCCUUGUGGUGAAAGAUUUGAGUUUGAGCACAUAUGUUGGUACCCGAAAGAUGGUGAACUAUGCCUGAGUAGGGUGAAGCCAGGGGAAACUCUGGUGGAAGCUCGUAGCGAUUCUGACGUGCAAAUCGAUCGUCAAACUUGGGUAUAGGGGCGAAAGACUAAUCGAACCAUCUAGUAGCUGGUUCCCUCCGAAAUUUCCCUCAGGAUAGCAGCAACUUAUUUACGAUAGUUUUAUGAGGUAAAGCGAAUGAUUAGAGGAUUCGGGGAAGAAACUUUCUCGACCUAUUCUCAAACUUUAAAUCUGUAAGACCUGCAGGUUUCUUAAUUGAACUUGUGGAUGUGAAUAUCAAGUUGCUAGUGGGCCAUACGGGGUAAGCUCGUCUGGCGAUGCGGGAUGAACCGAACGCAAAGUUAAAGUGCCAAAAUGCCCGCUCACCUAGAUACCAUAAAAGGUGUUGGUUCAUUUAGACAGCA